CUAUGCGCCUUGCCAGCCCGCUCAGGUGUGCCAGCAGCCGCGGUAAUACGGAGGAUGCGUAGCGUUAUCCGGAUUUAUUGGGUUUAAAGGGUGCGUAGGUGGUUAAUUAAGUCAGCGGUGAAAGUUUGUGGCUCAACCAUAAAAUUGCCGUUGAAACUGGUUGACUUGAGUAUAUUUGAGGUAGGCGGAAUGCGUGGUGUAGCGGUGAAAUGCAUAGAUAUCACGCAGAACUCCGAUUGCGAAGGCAGCUUACUAAACUAUAACUGACACUGAAGCACGAAAGCGUGGGAGUCAAACAGG
rnacentral:rRNA from 1 species